AACCCGCCACCCGAGCUCUCUCAGCCGGCCACAAAUGACAUUGAAGAAGGAUUGGAUGAGACCAGUGAUCUUCAGUUCGACACGCCAAACUGGCAACUGGUGGCCACUGACCCGCUGCC